rnacentral:rRNA from 1 species
AUUGAACGCUGGCGGCAGGCCUAACACAUGCAAGUCGAACGAGUGGCGGACGGGUGAGUAAUGUCUGGGAAACUGCCCGAUGGAGGGGGAUAACUACUGGAAACGGUAGCUAAUACCGCGUACCAUAGGAUGUGCCCAGAUGGGAUUAGCUUGUAGGUGAGGUAACGGCUCACCUAGGCGACGAUCCCUAGCUGGUCUGAGAGGAUGACCAGCCACACGGGAACUGAGACACGGUCCAGAUCCCUACGGGAGGCAUCAGUGGGGAAUAUUGCACAAUGGGCGCAAGCCUGAUGCAGCCAUGCCGCGUGUAUGAAGAAGGCCGUCUGGUUGUAAAGUACUUUCAGCGGGGAGGCGUUACCCGCAGAAGAAGCACCGGCUAACUCCGUGCCAGCAGCCUCGGUAAUAC